GACGAACGCUGGCGGCGUGCUUAACACAUGCAAGUCGAACGGAAAGGCCCUGCUUUUGUGGGGUGCUCGAGUGGCGAACGGGUGAGUAACACGUGAGUAACCUGCCCUUGACUUUGGGAUAACUUCAGGAAACUGGGGCUAAUACCGGAUAGGAGCUCCUGCUGCAUGGUGGGGGUUGGAAAGUUUCGGCGGUUGGGGAUGGACUCGCGGCUUAUCAGCUUGUUGGUGGGGUAGUGGCUUACCAAGGCUUUGACGGGUAGCCGGCCUGAGAGGGUGACCGGCCACAUUGGGACUGAGAUACGGUCCAGACUCCUACGGGAGGCAGCAGUGGGGAAUAUUGCACAAUGGGCGGAAGCCUGAUGCAGCGACGCCGCGUGCGGGAUGACGGCCUUCGGGUUGUAAACCGCUUUCGCCUGUGACGAAGCGUGAGUGACGGUAAUGGGUAAAGAAGCACCGGCUAACUACGUG
rnacentral:rRNA from 1 species